GAUGAACGCUGGCGGCGUGCUUAACACAUGCAAGUCGAACGGGAUCCAUCAAGCUUGCUUGGUGGUGAGAGUGGCGAACGGGUGAGUAAUGCGUGACCGACCUGCCCCAUACACCGGAAUAGCUCCUGGAAACGGGUGGUAAUGCCGGAUGCUCCGGCCUGCCGCAUGGUGGGCUGGGAAAGAUUGUAUCGGUAUGGGAUGGGGUCGCGUCCUAUCAGGUAGUCGGCGGGGUAACGGCCCACCGAGCCUACGACGGGUAGCCGGCCUGAGAGGGCGACCGGCCACAUUGGGACUGAGAUACGGCCCAGACUCCUACGGGAGGCAGCAGUGGGGAAUAUUGCACAAUGGGCGCAAGCCUGAUGCAGCGACGCCGCGUGCGGGAUGACGGCCUUCGGGUUGUAAACCGCUUUUGAUCGGGAGCAAGCCUUCGGGUGAGUGUACCUUUCGAAUAAGCACCGGCUAACUACGUGCCAGCAGCCGCAGUAA
rnacentral:rRNA from 1 species